AUGGAGGAUAAGCAAGAAACUUGUCCCAAGGGGGACAGUGAUUUUGUUUCUUACAAAGUAAAUUUUAAAACAGAGGAGGAAGAUGAUGAUCAAAUUCCUUGUCACAGUUUGGAACAAGUGGACUUUAAAAGUGAGUCAGAGGAUAUGAGACAGACAGACAGUGGCGAUGAACAGGCAGACAUCAGGGCAGCGAGCUGUGCCUGUCAGCCCUCUGGGAAGUUCUUAGCUGCCGAGAGUGAGGAUGACUAUGGCUCACUCUUCUACCAGUAUAUUAGUACACUGUACAACGUAGCCAUGGAAGCUGUGACCCAGAGCCUUCUUUCCAGUCGACACAUAAGCUCCAGGAAGAAGUCUCCAGCCUGGAAGCAUUUCUUUAUUUCCCCUCGAGAUAGCACUAAGGCGAUCUGCACUUACUGUAUGAAAGAGUUCAGUAGGGGCAAGAAUGAGAAAGACCUGAGUACAAGUUGCCUCAUGAGACAUGUGAGGCGGGCACACCCCACCAAGCUCAUUCAAGAAAAUGGAAGUCUAUCGGCAGGGUCCUCCUUUUCCCCUCACUCUCUGUUGCUUCCACCACAGCCUGCAGAUGUGGGAGACCUUAGCACUGUGCUCUCGCCUGUCAGACUUGUCCAGAAAAUGGCUCCCAAGAUCCCAUCCCCUGAUCAAAUAAUGGAAGAGUCUGUGACUGUAGUUUCUUCUGAAGAGUUGUCCUCUGAUGUGUCUGUCACUGAAAAGUACAGCAGAGAGGAGGCCUUGGCAGGCUCCUCCCCCAACCUCUCUAUGCUCCAUUAUGACGACACUUCAGAAACUGUGGCAGACAGAAACCUUUCUCUUCACAAAAGCACACCUGGGUCCAGGAGGAGGUUAGCCGUCUGGAAGCACUUCUACUUGUCACCCCUCGAUAGCUCCAAGGCUGUCUGUGUCCACUGUACGAAUGAGUUCAGUAGAGGGAAAAACGGGAAGGACCUGGGCACAAGCUGCCUCAUCAGGCACAUGUGGAGAGCACAUCGCUCCAUUGUACUGCAGGAGAACGGAGGCAACACAGGCAUCUCACCAUCGUACCCUAUGCCCCCAAUCCUGCUGCCUGACCUGCUGCCCCCAGAAGGGGAAUCUCAACUCCGCAUCGUUGUCUCCAGGCAAACAAGUCAAAGAGUCCUGUUCUGCCUCAUCCCCAGACAGGCUUCCUGAGGACCUGUCAUCACACACUAAUCCUGGGGAUGUGUCCUGGGAAGAUGUGUCCAUGUUGUCAUCCUCUGAUGAUUUGGGGGAGGCCUCUGUAGUGUCUUCUCCAGAGAAGCAGCCAGCAGACACAGUAAAUCCAAGGUUUGAAUCAGGCACUGUCUUCCAGCAAAAUAAGAAGGUGAUGAGAAGACUAAAGUCGGAAGUCUGGCAUCACUUUUCCCUGGCCCCCAUGGACAGUCUCAAAGCAGUGUGCCAGUACUGUAGCUGCAUUAUUAGUCGGGGAAAGAAGGGAGAUGUUGGCACCAGUUGUUUGAUGCGACACCUGUACAGACGCCACACUGAGGUGGUUGGUAACUAGAAGGACUUUCUGGGUGCAAGUUUGGCACACUCUCCAUAUGCCACUUUGGCUUCUGCAGAAAGCUCCUCCAAAUUAACUGACUUGCCAGCAGUGGUCAGAAAAAACCAUCAAGGUGUGUUUCCUACUAAUAGCAAGAAGACCUCAAAGCUGUGGAAUCACUUUUCUAUUUGUUCAGCAGACUCAACAAAGGUGGUGUGCCUGCACUGUGGCCGGACCAUCAGCAGGGGCAAGAAGCCCACCAACCUGGGCACCAGCUGUCUCCUGAGACAUCUGCAGCAGUUUCAUGGCCAUGUACUCAAGAAUGAUGUCUCAGAGGCCACUCUGCCCCGUUCUCCAGGAAUUCGGAGGCCUCUGGGCAUAGAGCUCUCAGGGCCUUCCUCUUUCCGUAACUCCACAGAGAAGUUCUAUGACUCUCAUCCAGUUGCAAAAAAAAAAAAAAAAAAAAAAAAAAAAAAAAAAUCACAAGUCUCAUAGCUGAAAUGAUUGCACUUGACCUUCAGCCAUACUCCCUUGUAGACAACGUUGGCUUUAACAGGCUGCUCGAAUACUUGAAACCUCAGUACUCUUUACCCUCCCCUUCCUACUUCUCUAGAACAACUAUCCCAGGUAUGUAUGACAAUGUGAAACAGAUAAUUAUGUCACAUCUGAAGGAAGCUGAGAGUGGUGUGGUUCACUUCACCUUUGGAAUAUGGACGAGUAGCCAGACUCGUGAAUACCUGACCCUUACAGCUCACUGGGUCACCUUCGCAUCCGCUGUCUGACCACAUUGUGAGAACCACCAUUGCUCAGCACUUUUAGAUGUGUCACAGGUCGACUGUGACUAUAGUGGAAAUAGCAUUCAGAAGCAGCUGGAGUGUUGGUGGGAAGCCUGGGUGACUUCCAUUGGCCUUCAGAUUGGCAUCACUGUCACUAACAAUCCAAGCAUAGGGAAGAUGCUGAGUGAGGGUGAACACUCAAGUGUGCAAUGCUUCAGUCACACAGUGAAUCUGAUUGUGAGCGAGGCUAUCAAGAGCCAGAGGAUGGUGCAGAACUUACUGAGUAUUGCCCGGAACCUGUGUGAGCGGGUCCAUCGGUCACCCAGAGCAAGAGAGAAGUUAGCAGAACUGCAGAAAAAGUACGAGUUGCCACAGCACCAGCUGAUCCAGGAUGUACUGUCUAAGUGGAGCACAUCGUUCCACAUGCUUGAACGUCUGAUUGAGCAGAAGAGGGCAGUUAAUGAGGUAUCCAUUGAGUGUAACUUCAGAGAAUUGAUCAGCUGUGACCAGUGGGAGGUCAUGCAGUCUGUGUGCCAUGUGCUGAGACCAUUUGAUGCUGCAAGCUGAGAGAUGAGUGCUCACAUGUCUACGCUGAGCCAGGUCAUCCCCAUGAUCCACAUCCUCAGCAGAAAAGUGGAGAUGCUGUUUGGGGAGACCAUGGGCAUUGAUACCAUGCUUAAGUCCCUGAAGGAAGCCAUGGCAAUCCGCCUGUCUGCCACCCUCCAUGACCCCAGGUACAUCUUUGCCACACUGCUGGACCCUCGCUACAAAGCUUCCCUGUUCACAGAGGAGGAGGCAGAGCAGUACAGGCAAGACUUAAUCAGGGAGCUAGAAAUACUGAAUUCUACCUCAGAGGACACUGCCACCUCCAAUGGCUGUGACUCAGGGUCCCCACUAAAAGACUUUGGCACAGAGGAGAGCCUUUGGUCACUUGCACCGGUAAAGAGAGAUCAGAGAGAGAAGCUACCUGAAGACAUGGUGCUUGCGUAUUUGGAGGAAGAGGUGCUGGAACACAACUAUGACCCACUUACCUACUGGAACCUAAAGCGGUCAUCGUGGCCUGGGCUGUCUACCUUAGCAGUCCGAUUUCUGAGCUGUCCCCCAAGGACAGUCCCCUCAGAAAAGCUGUUCAGCACACCCAUGGAUGCUGGCAGCUUUGGCCAGCCCAGGCUCAUGAUGGAGCAUUUUGAAAAGCUCAUCUUUUUAAAAGUGAAUCUUCCUUUAAUAUGCUUACAGUAU